GUGCUCGCUUUGGCUGCACACAUACUAAAAUUGGAAUGAUACAGAGAAGAUUAGCACGGCCACUGUGCAAGGAGGACACACAGAUUUGUGAAGUGUUCCAUAUUUUA
ensembl:snRNA U6 U6 spliceosomal RNA